UUCGCUUUCAAGUUUUAGCUAGUGCAGAAAUGGUGAUGAUGGGGUUGGAUAGGUUGCUGGGGAAUUUGAAGUCCAAGUUCAGGUCCUUGAAGAUGAAGAAACCUGCAGCUGAGGAUUAUAACAAGAUCGAAAAGAGCGAUAGCAUGAGAGUCGAAAUAAGGAGCAAGAAGGCCAGAAAGCUCAUUGAGAAGACUCUCAAAGUUGCAGACUCUCCCAAGACGAAAACGUUCGCUUUUUGAUACUUCGUAUACAGAUCAAAACCAGACUAUAUAUAGCUAGCUAGCUUUUAGCUAAUGCCUUCUCCUGUUUUGGAUGAUUAACAGGAUGGUCUAUUUUUGUUUAUCUCCCUCUUGAAUCUUGAUCCUUUCUUAUCUUUCUCUAUUCACUCAUAGCCAUACAUACACAUGUAAUUGUCAUUAUCAUGAAUGCAAGGUGUGAAUUUUCCCAUG